rnacentral:piRNA from 1 species
UGAUACAUUUGCCUAGAAAAACUCAGUCUGA